UACGUAGGGGGCAAGCGUUGUCCGGAUUUAUUGGGCGUAAAGAGCGUGUAGGCGGCUAGGUAGGUCCGUUGUGAAAACUCGAGGCUCAACCUCGAGCUGUCGAUGGAAACCAUCUGGCUAGAGUCCGGAAGAGGAGAGUGGAAUUCCUGGUGUAGCGGUGAAAUGCGUAGAGAUCAGGAAGAACACCGGUGGCGAAGGCGCUCUGCUAGGCCGUAACUGACACUGAGGGACGAAAGCUAGGGGAGCGAAUGGG
rnacentral:rRNA from 1 species